rnacentral:rRNA from 1 species
CAGCAAUGUCACCGGCGCACGGGUGCGUAACGCGUAUGCAACCUACCUAGAACUGGGGAAUAGCCCGGGGAAACCCGGAUUAAUACCGCAUAAGACAUUAGAAUCACAUGGUUUAGAUGUUAAAGCUUUGGCGGUUUUAGAUGGGCAUGCGUCCGAUUAGCUAGUUGGGGAGGUAACGGCUCACCAAGGCGACGAUCGGUAGGGGUUCUGAGAGGAAGAUCCCCCACACUGGCACUGAGAUACGGGCCAGACUCCUACGGGAGGCAGCAGUAGGGAAUAUUGGGCAAUGGUCGCAAGACUGACCCAGCCAUGCCGCGUGCAGGAAGAAGGGGCUACGCCUCGUAAACUGCUUUUAUAUGGGAAGAAAAAGUCCUUGCGGGGAAAACUGACGGUACCAUAUGAAUAAGCACCGGCUAACUACGUGCCAGCAGCCGCGGUAAUACGUAGGGUGCAAGCGUUGUCCGGAUUUAUUGGGUUUAAAGGGUGCGUAGGCGGCCCUAUAAGUCAGAGGUGAAAGAUGUCGGCUUAACCGGCAAAUUGCCUUUGAUACUGUAGGGCUUGAGUACAGAUGAGGUGGCCGGAAUGUUACAUGUAGCGGUGAAAUGCUUAGAUAUGUAACAGAACACCGAUUGCGAAGGCAGGUCACUAAGGUGUAACUGACGCUG